AAUCAUGCAGAGAUUCUGCUCUACCUAAUAUUUGUCUUUCUGUUCUCCAGGAGCAUGAGGCAGAUCGCCCCCACCUUGCUGUCCUCUCUAAGCAGUGUCAACUCUAGUUUUAGACUCUAAUUUGCAGUAUACACUUAAAACAGUAUCAAACCACUUUAAGCAGCCAAAGUUUCAUCCAAAGAUUCCUGGGAACUAUAGUUUGUUAAGGGUUGUAACAAGACCCCCUAUUCCUCCUCACAGACACUUUACAAACUAGAAUUCCCAGGAUUUAGUUAGGGUUCCUGCGUUGCAGGGGUUGGACUAAAUGGCCUUUGGGGUUCCUUGUAAUUCUGUGAUUCUUGGACGAAAGCCAUUAUUGUUUAAAGUUGAAUUUAUUUUAAACAUAUGGGGGCCUCAUCUGCGGUCUCCCUGUGGGUCUAGUCUGUACAAUCAUCCAGAUGGGGAGUGCAGGGCAAGUGAAGGAACCUGUUCUGUUUCCCCAUUUUUGUCAUUGCUUGCAUUUUCAGAAAGGUGAACAGGCAAAAACAACAAGAAGGAGCAACUACAGGGUCAGGAGAUUCUGGAGGUUGUCAGAGAGUCUCCUGCAGGUGUGUGUGGGUCUUGGCAGAUGCCCAACAAUGCUACCCCUAAUGUAUCCAAGGAAACCACACUCAAGUAUUGCUAAUCACCUCUUGAAUCAAGUGUUUUUAAGCCAAUGAAAUCAAUUGUAGGGCCACAAUAGACAUGAUUACUUUGUUAGCUCUGAGGUGCUUGAUUUUAGUAAGUAAAUAAAGGGGGAAGGGGCUGAGCCAGAUUGGCAUGGAACAUGGCACAGGGGGAAAGGGGGUCUCCAUAGUCCAAACUGUAAACAGUUAUCCUUUUGCCUGCUCUUCAGACUAUACAUUUGGUUUUGGUUUUUAGACCCUGUGCUGCUUUAGGUGCCUUUGGGUGUGGUGAAUGAACUUGAACAUUAUAUAGACAUUUAAAUAAAGACAUUUUCACCACAGGCUUCCCUAGAAAUAUACAGUAGCUGUUCUUUUUAUUAAAUUUUACUCGUUUUGAAUGAUACCAUCAUAUAUUUGAAUGAUACCAUCAUAUAUUUUAAAGAGGACUUCAGGGCAGAAUACAAGUCUCCUGAGAAAGCCUGAGGCGUAGUAUAUCUGUUUUUAAACACAAGUCAACUUCUCCCUCGGUUUAUAUGUAAGAUAGCAACACCUAUCUUGCUUACAUUAGGUAAGCAGAUGCCAACCAGUGGGGACAUUUGGAAUUUUGAGAAAGUGUCAUGGGCACCAGUCACAAAAUGGCUUCUGUGAGGGUUUGUGGCAUAACACAAAAUGGCAACUGUGUGGCUGUGGCAUGGCACAGCACAGCACAAAAUGGCUGCCACAUCUUAAAGAGCAGAAAAGGAGAUAGAAACAGAAAAUGGUGAAGUCAUGACCCCCUUCAGUGAGGAAAAAUCCACCUACAUCAGUCACCACCACACUUGCUCACAGAAAAAACCUCUAUACAGUACUCCUCUGUGCAGAAGGGAGGCAGGUGUCCAAUCCUAAUAUCCAAUGAAGUAUAGGUACAUUUAAGGGGAUGUAUUCAGUGUGGAAGAGGCCACUGAACCAAAAGAGCAAACUGUUUCUUGUAUAGUGUGGAUUUGUCAGGGUAUAUUAUUUACUGAGAACUUUUUUUUGGUGCCGUAGGAGGUACUGACAGGCACACUGGCACCCAUAGGCACCAAGUUGGCAACUCCUGCAUUAGUUCAUAAGUUCAUAACAUGUUUCAGCUUUAGAAAACUAGAAUUACGAAAUCUCACAAUAGUUUACUGGUUAUGUCACUCUCCCCACUUUCUUUUACUGAAAAUUACAUCAGUGCGAUUACUAAAUGCAAUCCUAUGAAUCCUUACCCAGAAGUAAGUUCCACUGAGUUCAAUGAAGGUUUUGUCCCCAAGUCAAUGUGCAUAAAAUUGCAGCCUUGGGCAAAUGUGUGCAAUGUGCAACAGGAUAGCAAGAUAACAGAGAAUUGGGGGUGCAACUUAGGCUACUAUUCAGUUUCUGGGGUUAAAGUUUGUAUUGGGUCACAAUUCCAACAAUGGAGGCUGAAUUAAUGCUCGUGCAUAGCAAUAGCAAUUAAAGGGUCUCCCUCGUUUCAAUAUUGCCCCUAAGGACAUUUGUGCUUCUAACACUCCAAAUAACAAGCUGGCUGAAAAGGCUGGACACUCCCAGUAAAUUACACAGGGCAGCACACACAUUCUUCCCCUGGCCUGGAGCCCGGCUACUUGCUCGGACAAGCCAGGCCAGAGAUGCUAAUCAGUGUUUUGCUAGGAAACCUUCUGCUUCCCCAAAAGUAAAGUGGAACUAGCACACUCUUUAAAUGGCUGGACAGGCCCAGAAGGGCUGUGACAUCCUGUUUCUUUUCCUGUUCGUAUCUGUCUAUGAUUGCAUGUCUGUAUCCAAAGCAUAAUUAAAGAUUAUGGAGACCCUAAGCUGAACAAUAUUUAAUCAAUGAAUCAAUGAUAUGUUUUUCCUACAUAUAUUUUUAAGAACCUAUGAAAUUUCUCCAUAACUUGGGAAUGAGGCCCUUGAUUUGUCAUUGUGUUGUUAUAAGAAUUUUAAGGUCUCAAAUAUAGAAUAAAUAUUCAUAAAUGCACACAUAUCUAAAUAUAUGAACCAUGUGUCUUAAAUAGUAUGGGAGAGCAAUCCUGAAGCCAUUUUGAGUCUCCCAAUGACCUCUGCAAUAAGGGAGGCAAAUGGGGAAAGCCUUCUUAUUGUCUUUUUUGCUUGCAGUUCCUGUCUUAAGGGCAUAUUUGUGCACGAAUAGGGUGAGCCUGUGACCUGGCCUCAGGAACUAAAGUACAGUAUUAACCAUCACAAAAGAAUGGCCAGACUGCCCAGAUAAUGCAAUCAGUAUCCCGGCAGACAGGAUUUCUGCUGUAGACCGCCUCCUUCUGUAUUAUGUAUGAUAGGGGUUGGGGGGUGGGUCUUGGGCUACAGGGUGGGCAAUUUCCAAAGUCUAUAUAAGGGCUUGCGCAUCAUUGUUCAGGGUUCUCCUCCCUCCUGUGUGUGGUGAGUGGGGACCCAGUUCCUUUAAUAACGAUCAGGCUUACUAGCCACUUUGCUUCUCAAUAUACUCUGGUUGGCCUCUGUUACUUUCUCCUACCAAUAGGGAAGCCACUUAAGGAUCCUAUACAGGCACUGGAAUACCCCAUAAGGGAAAGGGAGCAUUUUUUUCUUAUAACAGUGUGAUAAGAAGGGAAAGGAGGGUAUGAUGCAAGCUACAGGACUUAGAGAAGUGUUGGGCAUUGGCAGAGGAAGGCGGGUGCAGGGAGUGCAGUGUGCACCGGGUGUCAGCUGUGAGGGUGGGUGACAUUGGCGUGCCACCCACCCCACCCCCGCUCGCUGUGCAGGCAGCGCCCCCAGGGCGUGGGCCGUGGGCCAGUAGGGACAAUGCUGCCGUGGGCAGCUAGCAGCCUCCCCGGCGCUUGCCGCACGGGCAGCAAGCAGCUAGGGGUGCUCGCCAUGCAGGCAGCUAGCCCUGUCCCCACGGGCCAGCUAGCCCUGCCCCCUCACCGCUCCGGGUGCCGGGGCAGGUAGCUCCGCCCCUGGUGUUGGGUUCUCAGAUGAUAUUAGACUGUAACUCUCAUCAUUCCUGACCAUUAACUCAACUGCCUGAGGAUGAUGGUGUUGGCCACUUACAGUUUAGUAGCGCUGCAGAGAGCUUGCUGGGGAGACCAUGCAUAACAAGGAACUCAAAAAUAACUUUAACAAGGUUUUAAUAACAAAACAAAAACUCCUUUUACACUAAAGAUAACAACAACAAACCAGACCCAACCACCAACCCAUCCCCCAGGAUAAUGAGAGAGCUAGGUGCUGCUCCUUAUAUACUAUGCCCAAAUGCUGACACAGCUUAAUUAACACAACCUAGCAGCACCUGCUAUGUUUCACAGCUGCAAGACUGGGUCUCGUUAUUUGCCCUGGCCCUUAAAGACAAACACAACUUGUGAAACAAUAAUGAACCUUCACAUUUUACAGUGACCAUUCAACAGAUGGGAGUUGUAGUCCAGUGACAUUUGGGGACCAUAGGUUAAAGAACACCACUGUAGAGCAAAUGAUUGAUGAUGGUUCAGUCUUCACACCCCACAUGUCAUGCACACAAAAUAUUGACCAUACUUUUCCGCCCUGAGCUGCAACAGCUCUAACUUAUUAAAUCUAAUCUUAUUCUCUCUAUUUUUUUAUGCAGAACCCUUAUUUAAUGUGCCCCCACCUCUGCUUCACCUUUGUCAAGACAGUCGCUGCUUGGACUGCAACGUGCCACCAUCCUCCUUGCCUGUUCUAGUGUGAGCAGCUGCUGCUGGUUAACAUGGUUAUCUAUCAUGGAGGCCCCAUAUAAGUAUUCCUGGACCAAUGCCUGAUUUAUAUUGUUUCCAGUUCUUUGGCUUUAAAUCUCAUGUUUCCAUCAUUUUACCGUUACAGAAAGAGCCAUUUUUAAAUUGGUCCCUGUUUUAACUGGAGUUGUUUAAAUACAACGGACUACUUCCCUGAAAUAAGCCAUGUUUCCUAAAUGCUGCUCUGGUUCUCUUCUCCUCCCAGCACAGUAGCAUUGCCACGACACCCAUUGCCCAUCCUACAGUAGUACUUUAAUAGUGCAUCACUGUGGGGUAGGAGCAUGUGAGUGCUCUCUCUACAGGAAUCCCAAUUUUUGCAAAGAUUCUGCAAUAGCAGCAAAAUGACCUUUCUUGGGACAAAACUGCAUAAAUAAGCUCUCCCGCUGACACAAUUCUCGGCUCACUCCAAUUUUGCAAGGCGAUUAUUUGGAGUUACAACAGAGCAAGGAAAUUCGAAGGCUCUAAACCCUGUGUGGCUCUUCAUUUGGCAACCUUGGACAUAUCCCCAUACCAGUGCUUUUCCCCCCUUAAAAAAUAUGUUUUGGGGUACUCUCAUUUUCCUACUCAUAUUGAAAUACUGCCCCUCAGUGAGGCCAAACUUAGAUUAACAACAUAUUUAGGGGUAUGUAUACCCCUGCGUCCCCCCAGAAAAAAAGCACCGCCCCUAAGCAAGGUUCUUGGUCCCUGAUCUUCUGGACAACUUAAUAUACACGAUAUGCCAUUACAGUGGUACCUCAGUUUACAUACGCUUCAGGUUAGAGACUCCGCUAACCCAGAAAUAGUACCUCAGGUUAAGAACUUUGCUUCAGAAUGAGAACAGAAAUUGUGCUCUGGCGGCACGGCAGCAGCAAGAGGCCCCAUUAGCUAAAGUGGUUCUUCAGGUUAAGAACAGUUUCAGGUUAAGAACGGACCUCCAGAAUGAAUUUAGUACUUAACCCGAGGUACCACUAUAUUAACUUAUGAGCUGUUCAUUAAGAAAGUGUGUAUCUAUAGCACUGUAUGCUUUUCCAGACC